rnacentral:tRNA from 1 species
GGGGCUGUGGGUCAGUGGUAGAGAAUCUGCUUUGCAUGCAGAAGGCCCCUGGUUCAAUCCGCAACAUCUCCA